rnacentral:rRNA from 1 species
AUUGACGAGAAGCUUGCUUCUCUGAUGGUUAGCGGCGGACGGGCAUGACAAGGAAGCAUCCUGCCCUCACUUGGGACAACUACCGUAUGCGGUUGCUAAUACCGAACACUUGUUUUCUUCGUCUGUAGAGAACUGGAAAGACGGAGCAAUCUGUCACUUGGGGAUGGGCCUGCGGCGCAUUAGCUAGUUGGUGAGGUAACGGCUCACCAAGGCGACGAUGCGUAGCCGACCUGAGAGGGUGAUCGGCCACACUGGGACUGAGACACGGCCCAGACUCCUACGGGAGGCAGCAGUAGGGAAUCUUCCGCAAUGGGCUAAAGCCUGACGGAGCAAUGCCGCGUGAGUGAUGAAGGUUUUCGGAUCGUAAAGCUCUGUUGCCAGGGAAGAACGCUUGGGAGAGUAACUGCUCUCAAGGUGACGGUACCUGAGAAGAAAGCCCCGGCUAACUACGUGCCAGCAGCCGCGGUAAUACGUAGGGGGCAAGCGUUGUCCGGAAUUAUUGGGCGUAAAGCGCGCGCAGGCGGUCAUGUAAGUCUGGUGUUUAAUCCCGGGGCUCAACCCCGGAUCGCACUGGAAACUGUGUGACUUGAGUGCAGAAGAGGAGAGUGGAAUUCCACGUGUAGCGGUGAAAUGCGUAGAGAUGUGGAGGAACACCAGUGGCGAAGGCGACUCUCUGGGCUGUAACUGACGCUGAGGCGCGAAAGCGUGGGGAGCAAACAGGAUUAGAUACCCUGGUAGUCCACGCCGUAAACGAUGAGUGCUAGGUGUUAGGGGUUUCGAUACCCUUGGUGCCGAAGUUAACACAUUAAGCACUCCGCCUGGGGAGUACGGUCGCAAGACUGAAACUCAAAGGAAUUGACGGGGACCCGCACAAGCAGUGGAGUAUGUGGUUUAAUUCGAAGCAACGCGAAGAACCUUACCAGGUCUUGACAUCCAACUAACGAGGCAGAGAUGCGUUAGGUGCCCUUCGGGGAAAGUUGAGACAGGUGGUGCAUGGUUGUCGUCAGCUCGUGUCGUGAGAUGUUUGGGUUAAGUCCGCAACGCGCAACCCUUAUUUUUUAGUUGCCAGCCAUUUCGGAUGGCA